rnacentral:ncRNA from 1 species
ACAAAAGUUUUGAUGAGGACACGAGUUUUAUUUUACGGUUCAAAGAGAGGGAAGUAGUGCUGAGAGCUUCCUAACACGAAAAUAAUUCUUACCACCUCUGAACUUCAGUAGGGAACUAAUAGUAUCUACUGACGGCUACAACCGUUAUUUCUCAUGAGCUACUAGGAUAGAAGUUCAAAAAGAGGAUAACGAGAGGCGAGAAGGUCGAGGAAGCGUAGCUACGAGCAUAAGCUUGCACUCCGUAAGCAUAUGCACCGCACGAAGGAAAAGUUUUUUCUUUUCCGAGCAACGGAGCGUAUUUUAGUAAUACGUGAGUAGCGGAGUAGCAAGCUGACGAAGAGACCGCUGUCUAUCGUUACCGCAUUUUUUGAACACCCAUAGUAGAAAUGAGGGUGGAACCACGAGCACACACUCGUCCCUUUG